GCCAGGUGCACUAGUCCAUGCCUAUAGUUCCAGCUCCUUGAGAGGCUGAGGUAGGAAGAUCACUUGAGCCCACAGUUCUAGGCUAUAGUGUCCUAUGCUGAUUGGGUAUCUGCACUAAGUUCAGCAUCAGUAUGGUGACCUCCUGGGAGUGGCGGACCACCAGGUUGCCUAAGGAAGGGCGAACUGGGCCAGAUCAGAAAAAGAGCAGGUUAAAACUCCAGUGCUGAUCAGUAGUGGGAUCAUGCCUGUGAAUAGCCAUUGCACUCAGGCUUGGACAAUAUAGUGAGACCCUGCCUCU
ensembl:misc_RNA Metazoa_SRP Metazoan signal recognition particle RNA